rnacentral:rRNA from 1 species
AUUGAACGCUGGCGGCAGGCCUAACACAUGCAAGUCGAGCGGCAGCGGGAAAGUAGCUUGCUACUUUUGCCGGCGAGCGGCGGACGGGUGAGUAAUGCCUGGGAAAUUGCCCAGUCGAGGGGGAUAACAGUUGGAAACGACUGCUAAUACCGCAUACGCCCUACGGGGGAAAGCAGGGGACCUUCGGGCCUUGCGCGAUUGGAUAUGCCCAGGUGGGAUUAGCUAGUUGGUGAGGUAAUGGCUAACCAAGGCGACGAUCCCUAGCUGGUCUGAGAGGAUGAUCAGCCACACUGGAACUGGGACACGGGCCAGACUCCUACGGGAGGCAGCAGUGGGGAAUAUUGCACAAUGGGGAAAACCCUGAUGCAGCCAUGCCGCGUGUGUGAAGAAGGCCUUCGGGUUGUAAAGCACUUUCAGCGAGGAGGAAAGGUUGUUGGCUAAUAUCCAACAGCUGUGACGUUACUCGCAGAAGAAGCACCGGCUAACUCCGUGCCAGCAGCCGCAGUAAAAC